UAAUGCAUCGGGAUCUACCCAAACGUGGGGGAUAACGUAGGGAAACUUACGCUAAUACCGCAUACGUCUUACGAGAGAAAGCAGGGGACCUUCGGGCCUUGCGCGGUUGGACGAACCGAUGUGCGAUUAGCUAGUUGGUAGGGUAAUGGCCUACCAAGGCGACGAUCGCUAGCUGGUCUGAGAGGAUGAUCAGCCACACUGGAACUGAGACACGGUCCAGACUCCUACGGGAGGCAGCAGUGGGGAAUAUUGGACAAUGGGCGCAAGCCUGAUCCAGCAAUGCCGCGUGUGUGAAGAAGGCCUUCGGGUUGUAAAGCACUUUUAUCAGGAGCGAAAUACUACCGGCUAAUAC
rnacentral:rRNA from 1 species